UACGGAGGGGGCGAGCGUUGUCCGAAGUUACUGGGCGUAAAGCGCGCGUAGGCGGGUUGGCAAGUCCGCUGUGAAAGCCCGGUGCUUAACACCGGAGGGUCGGUGGAUACUGCCAGUCUUGAAGGUGCUAGGGGAAGAUGGAAUUACCAGUGUAGCGGUGAAAUGCGUAGAUAUUGGUAGGAACACCAGUGGCGAAGGCGGUCUUCUGGAGCACUCUUGACGCUGAGGCGCGAAAGCUGGGGGAGCGAACGGG
rnacentral:rRNA from 1 species